rnacentral:rRNA from 1 species
UACGGGGGGGGCAAGCGUUGUUCGGAAUUACUGGGCGUAAAGGGCUCGUAGGCGGCCAACUAAGUCAGACGUGAAAUCCCUCGGCUUAACCGGGGAACUGCGUCUGAUACUGGAUGGCUUGAAUCCGGGAGAGGGAUGCGGAAUUCCAGGUGUAGCGGUGGAAUGCGUAGAGAUCCGGAAGAACACCGGAGGCGAAGGCGGCUUGCUGGGCGUGAUCUGACGCUGAGGCGCGAAAGCGUGGGGAGCGAACAGG